UGGGGAAUAUUGCACAAUGGGCGCAAGCCUGAUGCAGCCAUGCCGCGUGUGUGAAGAAGGCCUUCGGUUUGUAAAGCACUUUCAGCGGGGAGGAAGGCGUUAAGGUUAAUAACCUUGGCGAUUGACGUUACCCGCAGAAGAAGCACCGGCUAACUCCGUGCCAGCAGCCGCGGUAAUACGGAGGGUGCAAGCGUUAAUCGGAAUUACUGGGCGUAAAGCGCACGCAGGCGGUCUGUCAAGUCGGAUGUGAAAUCCCCGGGCUCAACCUGGGAACUGCAUUCGAAACUGGCAGGCUAGAGUCUUGUAGAGGGGGGUAGAAUUCCAGGUGUAGCGGUGAAAUGCGUAGAGAUCUGGAGGAAUACCGGUGGCGAAGGCGGCCCCCUGGACAAAGACUGACGCUCAGGUGCGAAAGCGUGGGGAGCAAACAGG
rnacentral:rRNA from 1 species